GAGACAACUGUGGGAAAACAAACAAAAUGGCGGAAGGUACAGGCAGUUCUCGACUUGUGACCAAAAUGGAGCCCAAGCAAGACAGCUGUUAAGAAAUGCCAUCAAAGGGGGCAAAGCUCGCUUCUACAAACGCCUCGCUUAGCAACGGAUACCUUGGGACUCCCUCCUGGUCGCAAAU